rnacentral:lncRNA from 1 species
AUAAAAAUCGAGCAUUAUUUAACCGAAAACCCGACAUGUUGGCCCUCUCUGUGCUGGCACUCUCCAGUGUUUACAUUGGGAAAACAAUUGAAAUCAUAACAAUAAAAUCAAAUUCGAAAUUUUUGAGUGUAGAGU